GUGAUGCAAGGGCUUUUGCCAUCGACAGCCAUCAGUAUCAUUAAGCCCUGCACAACUACCGUGCUGUUUCUCAUUUAACAACAGUAUGAAAAUGUGAUGCAAGGGCUUUUGCCAUCGACAGCCAUCAGUAUCAUUAAGCCCUGCACAACUACCGUGCUGUUUCUCAUUUAACAACAGGUAUUUACACAUGUUAUAUUUUGUAUUGUAUUUUUGUAUUUUGUGACCCAGUAUGAAAAUGUGAUGCAAGGGCUUUUGCCAUCGACAGCCAUCAGUAUCAUUAAGCCCUGCACAACUACCGUGCUGUUUCUCAUUUAACAACAGGAAUAAAUGAUGCUCAACUGGGACCACUGGCUGAUGUGAUUUAUUAGGGAAAAAAAACACAACGCAAGGAGAGUACGAUAUACAUCUGUUACACUACAAUAGUUUAAAAAAAAUUCUAAGUGUUUGUCAGUUGGGCAUGCUCUCUACAAGGUUUUGUUACUUAUCAUAUGAACAUCAUUUUCUGACUCAAAUAAAGUUCCCUUAAGGUUUCAAAUUUUAAAUGAUAGAGAAUGCAUUUUGUUAAAAUAAAAUACUAACAACCUUGGUGAAAAUAUUUCUCACCUCUCUUUGCUCUUGAGAAGAAUAAAACAAUAUGUCAACUUAUUAUUA
rnacentral:lncRNA from 1 species